rnacentral:rRNA from 1 species
UGGGGAAUUUUGGACAAUUGGGCGAAAGCCUGAUCCAGCAAUGCCGCGUGUGUGAAGAAGGCCUUCGGGUUGUAAAGCACUUUUGUCCGGAAAGAAAUCCUUGGCUCUAAUACAGUCGGGGGAUGACGGUACCGGAAGAAUAAGCACCGGCUAACUACGUGCCAGCAGCCGCGGUAAUACGUAGGGUGCAAGCGUUAAUCGGAAUUACUGGGCGUAAAGCGUGCGCAGGCGGUUUGCUAAGACCGAUGUGAAAUCCCCGGGCUCAACCUGGGAACUGCAUUGGUGACUGGCAGGCUAGAGUAUGGCAGAGGGGGGUAGAAUUCCACGUGUAGCAGUGAAAUGCGUAGAGAUGUGGAGGAAUACCGAUGGCGAAGGCAGCCCCCUGGGCCAAGUACUGACGCUCAUGCACGAAAGCGUGGGGAGCAAACNGGAUUAAUNCCCUGGUAGUCCACGCCCUAAANGAUGUCAACUAGUUGUUGGGGAUUCAUUUUCCUUAGUAACGUAGCUAACGCGUG